rnacentral:rRNA from 1 species
AUUAACGCUAGCGGCAGGCAUAAUACAUGCAAGUUGAACGGCAGCACAGGUAGCAAUACUGGGUGGCGAGUGGCGCACGGGUGCGUAACACGUAUGCAACCUACCCUAUACAGGCGAAUAACCUUUAGAAAUGAGGGCUAAUACGCCGUAGUAUUACAGAUGGGCAUCUAUUUGUAAUUAAAGAUUUAUCGGUAUAGGAUGGGCAUGCGUCCCAUUAGUUAGUUGGUAAGGUAACGGCUUACCAAGACGAUGAUGG